rnacentral:rRNA from 1 species
AGUGAACGCUGGCGGUAGGCCUAACACAUGCAAGUCGAACGGCAGCACAGUAAGAGCUUGCUCUUACGGGUGGCGAGUGGCGGACGGGUGAGGAAUACAUCGGAAUCUACUUUUUCGUGGGGGAUAACGUAGGGAAACUUACGCUAAUACCGCAUACGACCUACGGGUGAAAGCAGGGGAUCUUCGGACCUUGCGCGAUUGAAUGAGCCGAUGUCGGACUAGCUAGUUGGCGGGGUAAAGGCCCACCAAGGCGACGAUCCGUAGCUGGUCUGAGAGGAUGAUCAGCCACACUGGAACUGAGACACGGUCCAGACUCCUACGGGAGGCAGCAGUGGGGAAUAUUGGACAAUGGGCGCAAGCCUGAUCCAGCCAUACCGCGUGGGUGAAGAAGGCCUUCGGGUUGUAAAGCCCUUUUGUUGGAAAAGAAAAGCAGCAGGUUAAUACCCCGCUGUUCUGACGGUACCCAAAGAAUAAGCACCGGCUAACUUCGUG